rnacentral:lncRNA from 1 species
UGAAAAAUCAAGUAAAAGCUAUUUUAGAAAAAUUUGCGAUUAGUGAAAUGCAAGUGCUGAGCAUCUGUGUCGACAAUGCAGCAAACAUGACAUAUGCCGUCAAAAAUUUCAGAGAGGACGAUGAAACCAUUUCCACCUCUGAGAACAGGGAUGUGGACAGAACUGAAGCUAUUUUGCCUGAUGAAGGAACUACAGGAAUGGAUGAAAUCGAACUAAACAUCAUGGAUGCUGCUGCACAAUGGGUUAAUGAUCCUAGCCUCAUACUUCCAACAUGGCUUUAUGAGGAAGACUCAAAAGUCCAAGUGAUGAGGAGUGGUAUUCACACUCUUCAGUUGGCAGUCUGGGAUGGACUGAACAAAGAACAUGCGAAGAAAUUUCUGGCAAAAAUUCGACAAGUCGUUGUCAAACUACAAACCCCAAGUAUUCAAAGUGUUCUGCUUGAUCUUCAUGGGGUAACUCAAUCAUUGGAUGCUGUGAGUUGCUGGGGUUCCACAUUUGCGAUGAUUGAUCGGCUUCUCGUUUUUCAGUCUUACUGUGAACAAAUGGCUGCUGCUGGAACAAGAGAACUCAAGUUAACAAAAGCUGAAUGGGACGAAGUGAAGAACCUGCGAGAUCUCUUGGUAAAGCCAAACCAAACAACCAUGAAACUUCAAGCUGUUGAUGUAACCCCGGGAGUUUUAAUGAAGGAAUGGCGAAAACUCUCAAAAUUCUUGCAAGGACAUGGUGGACAGAUUGCAGAAGGAAUUCUAUCCUCCAUGCAGAAACACGAAGAGAAGCUUUUUGACAAUAUUCAUUUUCUUGCUGGAGUUUAUGUUGAUCCACGGUAUCGGAUUCUUCUUACCUCAAGGGAAAUACCAAAGGCAAAGGAAGGCCUCCUUGAUAUUGCUCGACGACUCGAAAAACAAAAUCUAUUGCUACAUUUGAACUUGGCGAAAGAGGUUGAAAAAAACGAAACACAACAAAAGGAAGCAACAAUCGAAUUUGCGGUUUCUGAAAGUUCACAUCCUUCAGAAAUAGCAGGUUGUUCUCAAACUUCCGUCUCCACUCUGAACUUAUUCGAGCGUCCAUCUCUGAGAUGUCUUCAACCAUCACGGGGGAAUGGAGAUAAUUCAAGCAUCAAUUCUUCAGAAGAUGAUGACUUCGAAAAGGAAUUGGAUAAACAAGAAAGACACCAGCGAGUUUCUGCGAUUCAUAAUUGUAAUGAAGCAUUAUUCGAGAGAAACUUUUGGGAAGAUUGUGA